GAUGAAGAACGUAGUGAAAUGCGAUAAGUAAUGUGAAUUGCAGAAUUCAGUGAAUCAUCGAAUCUUUGAACGCACAUUGCGCCCGGUAUUAUUCUGCCGGGCAUGCCUGUUCGAGCGUCAUUUCAACCAUCAAGCCCCAGCGCUUGUGUUGGGGGCCUGCGGCUGCCGCAGCCCCCUAAAAGCAGUGGCGGGCUCGCUAUCACACCGAGUGCAGUAGUUCAUCUUCUCUCCGGUCUUGUGAGGCGGGUUCCGGCCGUGAAACACCCCACUACAUUCAAGGUUGACCUCGGAUCAGGUAGGAAUACCCGCUGAACUUAAGCAUAUCAAUAAGCGGAGGA
rnacentral:misc_RNA from 1 species